rnacentral:rRNA from 1 species
UACGUAGGGUGCAAGCGUUGUCCGGAAUUAUUGGGCGUAAAGAGCUCGUAGGCGGUCUGUCGCGUCUGCUGUGAAAACUCGGGGCUUAACCCCGGGCCUGCAGUGGGUACGGGCAGACUAGAGUGCGGUAGGGGAGACUGGAAUUCCUGGUGGUAGCGGUGAAAUGCGCAGAUAUCAGGAGGAACACCGGUGGCGAAGGCGGGUCUCUGGGCCGUAACUGGACGCUGGAGGAGCGAAAGCGUGGGGAGCGAACAGG